UACGUAGGGUGCGAGCGUUAAUCGGAAUUACUGGGCGUAAAGCGUGCGCAGGCGGUUUUGUAAGCCAGAUGUGAAAUCCCCGGGCUCAACCUGGGAAUGGCAUUUGGGACUGCAAGGCUGGAGUGCGGCAGAGGAGACUGGAAUUCCUGGUGUAGCAGUGAAAUGCGUAGAUAUCAGGAGGAGUACCGAUGGCGAAGGCAGGUCUCUGGGCUGACACUGACGCUCAUGCACGAAAGCGUGGGGAGCGAACAGG
rnacentral:rRNA from 1 species